rnacentral:lncRNA from 1 species
GCACAAACAUAAACAUACGAAGGGCUGAGUACAAGAGUACUCAGUGGGCAGUGCCAAGCAUAUAACAUAAUAUCAACAACAAAACACAACUUCGCAUAAGAGGCAUAAGUUUCUUUCAAAUCCUUUGCUCAUUAAACAUUUCCAUAUUCAUAAACAGCAUGAGCGCAUUUUUCAUCAUUAACAAUCAUCAACACGCAUCGUGUCGUGGAGAAGGCCUUCCCCAACGAACACGGGCAUCGCACCAUGAAGGGGGCCUCCCUCAG